UGUUAGUCUCUAAGGUGCCACAAGUACUCCUGUUAUUUAUACACCAGGGUUUUCAAAAGUAACUAGUUAUUUGGAGUGACUCAAUUUUUGGGUCUCCAACUUUAGACACAUUAAAGGGUUCAGAUUUUUCAGCCAAUGUGUUGUGUCUACUAUCUGAGGAUCAGACUCCUUUAAGGCAUCUGAAAUUGGGCAUCCAAAACUGAGUCAUUUUUGAAAGUCUUGGCCAUAAAAUAUAGGAAACGUCCUACACCUGGUCCAAGUUGGAUAGUUUAAAAAGAGCUUUCUCCACGUUAGCUUAGCUAUUGUAUUGUCUAAUUUUUUAGAUCUUUAAAAGAGUCAGUUUCUGAAAAUUCCUCUUUGUCUCUUCUAGUUUUCUUAAUGUUAGAUCUGUAGGAGUGCAAAGCUCACUCCUUGAUAGUGAUCGUAAAAUGGUUUCUUCUUAUACUCAUGUCAAAUGAAAACCUUUAUAAUCUAAGCACAACAAAUGUGCAACAAGGUGAAAAUAAAAAUGUUCUACUGUUUUGCCCAAACACAGUAUAUCAGUAAGAUAUUCUAAUUUGUUACCAUGGUGUAAAUCUGGAGUAACUCCACUGAAUUCCAUGACAAUUAUACUCUUGAUAUACAGUGCUGCCACUGAGCAGACUUUGGUCCCUGUUCAUAGUUACGUCAUUUUAACUCCAUGAUUGAUUUAUAGUUCUUCAUUGCUUGGUUGCUUAUCUGUUGAGUAUUGCAGUAUAUUUCAAAUGAUUUAAUAAUAUCUUGAAUUUGCCGAGCCUUCCCUGCAAGAACAUCGAGGCUCUCUGCACAUGUGAAUUCAACUUAACUUGACCAAGGUAUUAUCCCUAUUUUAUAGAUGGGGAAACUGAGGCACAAACUUUGCAACUUGUUCAAGCUAACAUCGUGUAUUAGUGGUGAAGCCAUAGAUAGAAUCCAGUGAUGAAACUGAGGACCUGCUGAAGUUAAUGGCAAAACUCCCAUUGACUUCAAUGGGGCCAGGAUUUCACCCUUGGUGUUCUGACUCACCCCCAUUCCCCUGCUCUAACCACUUGACCCCACUGUCUCCUCUGUCUUUUUAUUGGUAAACUAUUUUCAUAUCCCUUCAUUCCAGCCCCAGUUUCCUGCUUUCCCCUGCCAGGCUUCCCACAGACCCGAGUUUCUUAUUUGCAAAAUCAUUUGGAUUAAAAGGCUGGAAACACCAGUCAAACAUCUAAUCUAAACUCAGCGGGAAAUAACGCAUGGGAGAUGCUAAGCAUUUUCUGGAACACUUGUGGCACUGCAUGAAGUCCCUCCUGCCGGGAUGUUGUGAGGCUGCACACUCAGAUUAUCUCAGCCGCUAGAAUUAGCUGCACAUAAAGGCACCUGCUGUGUUGGGGGAAGCUGACAGGGACACGACUGUGUCACUCAAAUUGCAAAAGGAAAAUCUUACCACCACCCCCGGCAUGCCACUAAUGACUGCAGCGCCUCUGCCCAGCUUCAGGCAACGAGGGAAUUAAUUCUGAGGCUGCUAUCAGAGUGCCGGCGCACGGCAAAGUGGGCCAAACUCUCUCCAGCCCUGGGAGAAGUUAAUAGAGUUGCACUACGGAUGGAUUUGGCCCAUUGUGGCUCAGGAAGCAAGUGUUCUUGUGGUACGUCUGCAGCCAAAGCAGCAUAAGAGCCGACAUGGCCCUUCAAAGUACUUUGGGGCCCUGCCUGGGGAAGCCUGUGUUGGGAAUGUGGAUACAUCUUUCUGGUUUUCUGGUCUGUUUGGUUUUUGUCUUUUAUGAUUUUAUUAAGAUCCUUUCAUGGGCCACAGUCGAGCUUCUCCUUCCACGUGUUGAAAAAUCCCAUUCUGCAGUGGGAACUGGCUGAGGCAUGGCUGGCUGUUCUGGUUUGCCACCUUUCUGCUCUGAGAUGGGUGGGGUGGGUAAGCUCUCUU